AGAACGCACGAGCGGGGACGCCUUGCAGCCCGUUUCUUUCUUUUUUUUUUGCGGAAUGGUCAUCUUGGUGCGUGGGCAAGCCUUUGCGACACCCCUGUUUCCCUUCCUCUCUCUUGAUACGCACCCGAGUUUUGUUCAAUGUGGGGUGGACUCAAGAAGCGCACCCACUAUGGCGACGUGUUCAGGCGCUGGAGUGCCUGUCAGGGACUGGAUGUCCUGCGCACGGCGCUGUACAAGGAGCCACGCCCGUGGUACAUUGCCUACACACUCCAUCAGGCAAAUCACCUGCUGCAAGAUCAUCACUGUGCGCGUCUGCUAGCAUGGAGCACGUCCAUUGUGGAGCUCCGGCCGAGUCUCGCUAGCAAGCAGGAAGCGUAUCGAUAUACGCAGGAGAUGUUCAGCAUUUUUGUGCGGCAUCACAAAGUGGGACAGCAGAGCCUGUACGAGUACAUGCGACUCUGCGCGGUCGGCAAAGACCUUAGCUCGGCGUUCGACUGGUUCAAGUACUGGCAAGAAGCGCAGCUUGGGGCGCACGACACGCUGAGCUCGCUCAGCUGGUUGUUGCGAGUGGCGGCCCUCUCGCCAAACGACGAGCGCGUAGAGGACAUGGCGCUGACCGUGCUGGAGCUCUACACAGAACGCUUUGCGCUCCCCUCAGCAGACACCACAGCGAAAAACGCGGCGGCAACAACAGCAGCUGCCUCCCCUUCAUUGACAACUACGUUGCGUCAUUUUCAGCCUACCACUCCUGUCGAGGAAGCUGAGCUGCGGCGUUUUUUUUGUCUUUUUCAGCAACUGGCGCCGCGAGUGGAGGCGAACGCGCAAGUCCGCUCGUUUUUGGAGACACUGCCUGUCUCUGCUACAGAGGCUCUCGCGGAUUGCGCUGUCACUGGCUGGCCAACCGAUAGCGCACACCGUAUUUUCCCUCAGUUGGAGCAACACAUCAGCAGUGGCCUCACGAAGGUCUGUCUUGGCAAAAGCAGCAAUGCGCCUGGAGACGAGCCGCGGCGCAUUGGCGGCGAUUCUCUUCCACGGCUGCGUGACUCGCUCCUGCAUCCCUCCUUCCUCGCAAAACUCGAAGACAGCGCCGCGCGGCACAACGCUGCGGCGGUGGUGGCUCUGGUUGAGGACUACGAGGAGCACGUCCGGCAUGAGCGCGAACGCACGGGCAGCGGCCGUGUUCCGGCGGUGCGCAAGCGCACUAGCGAGGGGGAGGUGUGGCGUUUGUACGCGGACCCGACAUCGAUGGCUUUCCGCCGCAGGCUCGUCGAGGAAGGCGGGGUGACACCGGAGCUGUAUCACUACCUCAUCGCCGCACUGGCAGCUACCCAACCCUCGGCAGCUUUGCGCACAUUGGCACGAAUGGAGGAGGCGCAACUGCGGCCGCUCGAUGUAACGCGUGCGACGGUCCUGGUGGCUGUUCAGGACUGUGCCGAGGAUCGCCUUCGGCUCUUCCAGCAGCAGCUGGAAGAAAUGCGCCUGCGCGCUCGCCUGGAUGAGGACUACGAUAUCGUGAAGGUGGUGGAGGCGUACUGGAAAUACGAUUACGUGGACUUCUUUCACUACCGCAACGCGCUUGAAAAGAAAGAGUUCUACGAAUUUCUUCUCCACCGGCUAGGGCCACAGGCGCUUCAGCAGCUGCUUCUCGAUGCCAAAGCACACGGACCGACAGCAACCCCGGAGGACUUGGUGCUUCUCGACGAGGACCUGUGCACGGCCUCGUAUCGCUACUUUCGGGCUCAAGUCGGCCGAAGCGCGGUGGAGCGCGCCCUGGACGACAUCAGCACCCACAUGCCAAAGCUGGACAUGGGGCUUGUCGGCACGCUGCCGCACUUUGGCGAUUACUGCAUGGACGGCGACGAUAGCAUCGCCCAUAGCACGGCCGCGCUUCAGGGUCUCGUGCAGCCUUACGAAACCAUCUACGUCCUGGACACCUCCUUCGUAGAGACCUCCGAAGCGUUUCUCGCGGUGGGUGCCGCGUCGCCGUCGCUGGUGCUCGUCCCAUACCUGUGUCUCUUGCAGCUCGCGGAGUCGGUCGCCAACGCCGACCGCUUCGUCACUUUUGACCCGGCACUGCAGCAAAUGACACGCGCGGAGCCGUUUCUAGCCUCGCAGCGACUGCGCGGGCUGUUUGCUAUGAUUUCCGCCCCUGCCGCUUCGCGACAGGCAGGCGCGGGGCGGCGCACGCGUGUCCUGCACUUCACUGAGUGCAUUUGUGCUAAUCAAGUGGACCAGAAAAUGCUCGACGCCCUCGGUCUUUCCCCGUCCUCCAGCGACAACGAUCAGCUGCUUCUCGUCCUAGCAAUGCUCAGCUCACUCAAGGCGCCAAAGACUCGCCUCGUCUUGUGCACCGACGAUGCACAGCUCGUCGAGCAGCUGGAAUGCUUGCGAGGCUCCUCGUUAUUUGGGUCCGCAGUGGACGUGAUUCGCACGGCGCCGCCGGAGAAGCUCGAUUUGGAGAAAGAUCUCAUCAACGACAACCCUGUGCUGAAAGGCGCCGACGAGUGGGACUCGGCCGAAGCGUUCGAGCCCCGGCUGCGCAUUGCCGCUGACUUGCGUGCGCUGAGUGAAGACAAGGAGGACUCCGCGGUGGGUGAGCCACAGACGGUCGCCGAUUCGACCGUCACCGGCAGAGACGCGGUGAGUUCCUCUCAUGGCGAGGCGGCGGCGGGCGUGGAAGUCGGCGCGUCGUCGAACGUGCCGAUGAAGGUCCCAGUCACCGUUAGCGGCGGCAUAGAUUCCCCUUGGCUGGAGCUUCUGAAGGAGGAUGAGGAAGAGGACGCCGUGGAAGUCGCGAGGGCCGCACCUGCCUCUACACGAGAGGUUGCAUCAACAAGUGCGACAGCACCGCCUCCCUUACCGGGCAUGUCACCAGUGGAACAGGAACGCCGCGCCCGCUUAAUGGACCUAUAUGAGACCCCAUUUGACGUUGUGCCCGUUGGCGUGCGAAUGGAAGAGGCCUCGACUGUCGGGUCGGUCUUUACAGAGUUCGACUCGUUGGAGCCGGAGCUGCGGGAGGCACGCGCGGCGGAUCGUGCGGCGGCGCGCUCGUCGCUCUCCCUCGAGGACAGUAAGGCGAGCAAACGCGGCGGCGUAAAAACUCGCAGGCGUCGCCGCUCGGUGCUCGAGGAGGAGAUGCUUGCCAAUCGCGGCGCAUCCAACAAGGACCGCUUUCAAAUGGCGCGCCAACUGUCCAACUGGAGCGGCGGUCGCGUCCCCUUCAACCUGCGAUACCGCGUGGUGGAGGCCAACGUUCGUGAUCCACGUAACUCGCACCUGCGCAGCGCCUACGAGGCAGCACUGGCAAAGAAACGGUUCAGUUUUAAGCAGAAGCACGGUUAAUCGUGGGCGCGAGAGCGCUGUAGCCCUGGAGAGCACUUUCGGCUCGUGCUUGUGCCAGAGCUGUAGGCCAUGCAUGACGACUGUUACUAUCAUCUCACUGUACACU
rnacentral:misc_RNA from 1 species